UACAGAGGUCCCAAGCGUUGUUCGGAUUCACUGGGCGUAAAGGGUGCGUAAGCGGUCGGGUAAGUCUGAUGUGAAAUCUCACAGCUUAACUGUGAAACUGCAUUGGAUACUAUCCGGCUAGAGGAAUGGAGGGGAGACUGGAAUACUUGGUGUAGCAGUGAAAUGCGUAGAUAUCAAGUGGAACACCAGUGGCGAAGGCGAGUCUCUGGACAUUUCCUGACGCUGAGGCACGAAAGCCAGGGGAGCAAACGGG
rnacentral:rRNA from 1 species